rnacentral:snoRNA from 1 species
UUCCAGGAUGAAUGGCACUGGGCUCCGACGGUGUUGAUAAAAUCAACCCGUUUAUGAUGGAUAUGCCUUUUUGUGGCAGGCCUAGAAAACCUCGCCCACUGAUU